AUGAACUUAUGCCUCCUUGCUUCUUGGGCUAAAAGAUACUUUUCUGGAGAUAAUAAGAUUUGGAAACUUAUUAUUGAUGACAAGUACAGCACUAGUAAACCAAAUAUUUUUGCUUGCUCCAGCAAUGGGGCCUCCCCUCUCUGGAAAGGUAUUUUAUGGGCCAUUAAAGCCUCUAAGUUGGGGUACUCCUGGGUUGUGGGGAAUGGCAAGAAGAUUCGUUUUUGGGAGGAUGAGUGGUUUGGUAAUGCGCCACUAUCCACUCAAUUUUGGGAUCUAUAUUCUUUGGCUAAUGAUCAUAACAUUUCUAUAUAUAAAAUCUGGGAUGGGAUUGAUCUUAAGAUCACCUUUAGGAGGUGUCUAGGGGGUGAUCAAAUCUCUGACUGGAUGGACCUUGUCUCUAUUGCUAGUACUAUUACCUUUAAAGAUUGUGAGGAUACUCCAGUAUGGAAGUACAGUGCAAAUGGGCAAUAUUCAGUUAGAUCUUUUUACAACAUUGUGAACUUUAGGGGAAUCCUCCCCGUCCAUACACAGUAUGUGUGGAAGCUGAAGAUUGUCCCUAGAGUACAAAUUUUCCUUUGGCUGGUCUAUAAUAACAAGAUUUUAACCAGAGAUAAUCUUGUUAAAAGGCAGCAUGUCCCUGACAUGACCUGCAUGUUUUGCUCUGAGCCGGAAUCUUGCCAGCAUUUAUUUUUUGAAUGUGUAGUGUCGAUUGAACUCUGGAGAGUUAUUGGAGACAUGUCAGGAGUUGGCAAGGUCUCUGAUAUUGAGAAACUUGCGGCUUGGUGGGUUUCCAAUAAGAAACAUGCAGUUGUGAAUGCUUUACAUGCAGCUGUUAUGUGGUCUCUCUGGAAAAUCAGGAAUAACCUGUGUUUCAAUCGCUCUGUGUGGUCUGGAAUGCAGAAAAUAUGGAGACAGGUGGCUAUGGAGCUAGCAGCAUGGGAGGUUCUGUUCUCAAACGAUGCAAAAAUCCAGGUCUCUGCUGUGGUGAAAAACCUCGAGAAGCUUGCCAGAGAUCCUCAUAUGCUGAUGUGGCCAGACCCCCGGUUGAUCCUUUCAAGUUGCACGUGGGGGCGAAACUGA
rnacentral:rRNA from 1 species